rnacentral:rRNA from 1 species
UACAGAGGGUGCAAGCGUUAAUCGGAAUUACUGGGCGUAAAGCGUGCGUAGACGGUUACAUAAGUCGGGUGUGAAAGCCCCGGGCUCAACCUGGGAAUUGCAUUCGAGACUGCGUAGCUAGGGUGCGGAAGGGGGAAGCGGAAUUUCCGGUGUAGCGGUGAAAUGCGUAGAUAUCGGAAGGAACACCAGUGGCGAAAGCGGCUUCCUGGUCCAGCACCGACGUUCAGGCACGAAAGCGUGGGGAGCAAACAGG